UCAUUUGUAGUACAUCAAGUAGUAAUAUGCAGGAAAGAUAUAUUUUGACUUAAGGUGAGGAAGCAAAUCUUACAACAGCAGUCAGAAUCAUGCCUUAUUUUUGAUAUUAUGUGCAGACAGCCAUCAAAUUUGGUAUGUUUCUUUUCAACUAAAAUAGUUGGUGAUUUGAAGGUAUUUUUUCCUGUUGUCAUUGCCAUUCUGCUAGGUGUGCUUAAAAAAAACAGUCAGUGACCAAUACACAGUAUUUAUUUUUUAUAAUUCAUCAACUCAACAAUAUUGCUAACAAUUUUACAUGUCUAACUAAUAUAAUGAUAAAAUUAGAUAUAUUAAUAUUUUUAAGGUAACAUUUUAAUUUAUCCACUAUUUAUUUGACCGGGAAAAUGCAGACUUAAAAUAAUUGCAACAGAGUUAGCUAGCAGCUAAUUUGCAUCUAUUGUCCUUGGGCAUUCACUCAGGUUUCUCCCCUCAAUUAUAAUCAUGCUCCCUCAAACAUGCAGGCAGCUCUCCAGAGACAGACAACUGUGCAGCAAGUCUGGCACAGAGAUUAUUUCCUGAUAACUCCUUAUCAUCUUCAGGAAUAUUCCCCUAAUCUUCCUCAUCCUCAUCGUGAAGUUCCUCCUCCUCCUCUAGGAUAUCAUCUGUCGAGAGACAGGUUGUGGAGGAUACAGUAUGUUGCAAUAACGUUAGGGGCAAAUAGAGGCCGAAUCUCCAAAGCCCCCAGGAAGAUGGCUUGCAGCGGGUUUUUAGCAUUCCGAAGGCUGGCGGCAUGGCAUCAUGAGGGUGAGAGGAUGCUGCAGACAUGGGUACCCCCCAUCUCCAAGAAGAAAGAAGCCAGCUGGUGGAUAUAGGGACUCCUUGUACAUUGGAGAUCUCCGGAGGACAAGGGCAUCAUGGACUGACCCGGUGUUGCCAAUCAGGUGGAAGUACUCUGACGUGGCACCCAUCUAUUGCUCCAGCUGCACAGCGGAAUGCCCCAUGGCCAGCCAAGCGAGCAAAGCCUGCCCCCACCUCCUCCAUCUCUCCUGGUUUGGGGAAAUGAAUCACCUUGUGAACAAUGGCCAUCAUGUCAUCCACUAUACUGUGGACUAUUCUGCCAAUGGUGGCUCUUGGUAUGGCGAAGAUGUCUGCUGUAACUUUGUAUGAGGUGCCACAUGCAAGCCAGUAGAGACAGACAGCCACCUCGAUUUCGUGGCUCCAUCCAUGUGGCUUUUGCCGAGGCAACGUCUUGACCAGCAGGUUGAUGGUUUCUCUGGAGAGCCUAAAGGCUCAUUUUAGGUCAGCUUCGAGAAAAAACUCACAGGAUUGGCACGUAGUUAUUUAUUUGUACAAACCUCUAAGAGAGCGUUUGAUCCUGUGUGAAAUUCAAAAAAAUUUAAUAUUGUGCAAAAGUUAACCCAACAGCAAAAAAGGAUGUUCCAUUCAUUCUAGUCUGGUUAUAUGUAUUUCUUAAAAUUAUGUAGGCUACAGAUGUUGUCACGAAUACAGCCUCUGUGGCUCCCUCCACUCACCACCAGAGGUCACCAUCUCCUGAGUACUAACUCCUUGGACUGCAAAUCCCAUAAUCCCCGUACCUGUGGUUGAUUUGUCUCACAGGUGUUUCCCAUUGACUCUCUCUAUUUAAACUGUUCUCUCAGCUUCAUCCUUGCGAAGUCUUGUCUUGCCAUGCAAACAUUUCUGAGCGUUUAUGCCGUGUGUGAUUUCCUGUGUAUGACCUGGACUGUUUACUGGUAGGGAUGGCUGACGCAAAACAGACGUUCCGAAGCUUUGCGAGAUCCCGAAGCAAAAAUGAUUCGAAACACUGAUCUGAAGCGUGAUUCAAAACACCCACAGUCACGUGACAAAGGCUAAAUGAAGCUUCUAAGUGUUUCAUCAGGUGGACUGCUCCGCCGAAUCAGGGUUUGAUUGAUAGGUCGGUCAGGAAGGAUCGCGUGAGCAAAGUGCACACAGAAUGUCUAUUCUUAAAGUCUUGUGCUGUUUUAUGAAGGCAAAAACCCAUAUAAUGGUUUCGAUUUAAGUUAAUUGGCAAAAUAUAACGCUAGAGACAAUGUUAGUUUAUACUUUUUACAUCUCAUGUUCGGCAAAAGCCAGGCUCGAACUCGAGCACAUUAAUCGCUCUUUCAAGACCUAUGCGCUCUACGAUCUACGCCACUGUAGCUAUUCAUGAUAGGCCUGUUUUUGCUUAAAACACCCCCCCCCCCAUACACACACACAUAUA